rnacentral:rRNA from 1 species
AUGAAACGUGGUACAAUGCUUGCGCGAUUGAUCAAAUCAGCUGCGCUUAUAAUAUGGGACGAAGCUCUAAUGAGCCAUCGGCGUUGCUUUGAAGCAGUUGAUAGAUCUAUGCGUGAUGUGCUUUCUGAAGAUAACCAGGAAUUAGCUUUGCUUCCUUUCGGAGGCAAGGUAAUGGUGUUGGGUGGUGACCUUAGGCAAAUAUUACCCGUUGUAGAAGGUGGUGUAAGAAGUCAAACUGUUAAUGCAGCAGUCACAAGUUCACAUUUAUGGGCACAUGCACAAGUUUUGCACUUAAACAUUAACAUGAGAUUAAAAGCACCAUCCCUUGACCCAAAUUCUGCUGUCCAGUUAGCACAUUUCAGUGACUUUGUUUUGGCUGUUGGUGAUGGAACAUUCCCUGCAGUUCGUAGAGGUGAUGAAACCGAAGCAUCUUGGAUAGAACUUCGUUUGGAUCUUAUGAUCAUGGAAGGUGAUAAUAAGAUACGUGCAAUGAUAGAAGCUGUCUAUACUGACUUUCCUGAUAAAUUUAUGGAUCCAACAUAUCUUUGUGAUCGUGCGAUAUUAUGCCCUACACAUGACGUAUGUGAUGAGAUCAAUGAUGUUAUGCUAACUAUGGUUCCAGAGCAAGCUAGAGAAUACUUAAGUUAUGACUGCGUCUCAAAAAUUUCUGAAAAAUUUAGUGAUAUGGAAGCUAUUUACUCAAUUGAAUACUUGAACAUGCUUAGUGUCAACAAUUAUCCAGAGCAUCGUUUGGUUCUGAAAAAAGGUAUCCUGAUUAUGCUCCUGCGAAACCUGAAUCCAAGUGAUGGUCUUUGUAAUGGCACACGAAUGCUGAUCACAGACUUAGGAGAUCGGUUGAUUGAAGCAAGGAUUCUAACUGGUUCCAACGUAGGUGAAACUGUUUACAUCCCUAAGAUCAUGCUUUGCACCAAAAACAAAAAAUGGACAUUCAGUCUAGAACGCCGUCAAUUUCCAAUAAGAGUUUGUUAUGCAAUGACCAUCAAUAAAAGUCAGGGGCAAUCUCUUAAUGUGGUUGGACUUUAUCUUAGAAACACUGUGUUCUCACAUGGGCAGCUCUACGUAGCUCUGUCCUGUGUCACAUCAAGGGCAGGUCUGAAAAUUGUGAUAGAAGAUGAUAAGCAGAAUUACACAAGGUGGACAAAAAAUAUUGUCUACCGUGAAAUAUUUGGAUCACUGCAGUAA